GACGAACGCUGGCGGCGUGCUUAACACAUGCAAGUCGAACGGAAAGGCCCUGCUUUUGUGGGGUGCUCGAGUGGCGAACGGGUGAGUAACACGUGAGUAACCUGCCCUUGACUUUGGGAUAACUUCAGGAAACUGGGGCUAAUACCGGAUAGGAGCUCCUGCUGCAUGGUGGGGGUUGGAAAGUUUCGGCGGUUGGGGAUGGACUCGCGGCUUAUCAGCUUGUUGGUGGGGUAGUGGCUUACCAAGGCUUUGACGGGUAGCCGGCCUGAGAGGGUGACCGGCCACAUUGGGACUGAGGUACGGCCCAGACGCCUACGGGAGGCAGCAGUGGGGAAUAUUGCACAAUGGGCGGAGGCCUGAUGCAGCAACGCCGCGUGCGGGAUGACGGCCUUCGGGUUGUAAACCGCUUUCGCCUGUGACGAAGCGUGAGUGACGGUAAUGGGUAAAGAAGCACCGGCUAACUACGUG
rnacentral:rRNA from 1 species